AGGACGAACGCUGGCGGCGUGCUUAACACAUGCAAGUCGAGCGGAAAGGCCACUUCGGUGGUACUCGAGCGGCGAACGGGUGAGUAACACGUGAGUAAUCUGCCCUUCACUCUGGGAUAGCCCUCCGAAAGGGGGAUUAAUACCGGAUACGACCACAGACCGCAUGGUGUUGUGGUGGAAACUUUUUGGGUGGGGGAUGUGCUCGCGGCCUAUCAGCUUGUUGGUGGGGUAAUGGCCUACCAAGGCUUCGACGGGUA
rnacentral:rRNA from 1 species